GCCAGCAUGAUUUAGUUGUUUGAGCAUUAGACUAUGACUCUAAAGACCAGGGUUCAAAUCCCAGUUUAGUCA